rnacentral:tRNA from 1 species
AUUUAAAUAGCUUAUAAUUAAAGUUUAGUAUUGAAGAUACUAAGAAAAUAUGAAUUAUUUUUGAAUA